rnacentral:rRNA from 1 species
AGAGUUUGAUUAUGGCUCAGGAUGAACGCUAGCUACAGGCUUAACACAUGCAAGUCGAGGGGCAUCGGGAAGAAAGCUUGCUUUCUUUGCUGGCGACCGGCGCACGGGUGAGUAACACGUAUCCAACCUGCCCUUUACUCGGGGAUAGCCUUUCGAAAGAAAGAUUAAUACCCGAUGGCAUAAUGAUUCCGCAUGGUUUCAUUAUUAAAGGAUUCCGGUAAAGGAUGGGGAUGCGUUCCAUUAGGUUGUUGGUGAGGUAACGGCUCACCAAGCCUUCGAUGGAUAGGGGUUCUGAGAGGAAGGUCCCCCACAUUGGAACUGAGACACGGUCCAA